ACUCAGCCCUGGCCGGGCCCCGCGCCCUCGGCCGCCGCGCAGGGUCUGGACGCGCGCCGCGGCUCCCUAGCCGGCCGGCCGACGCUCGGGGCGUACUCACAAUGAGCGGGAUGGUGCGGUCCUCGCGGAGCUGCUCCGACCUCCUGCCUGCCCUCUGCGCGCCCCGGCCGCCGGAGGAUGCUGCGUGGGCUCGGUUGUCCUGCCAUAAGUAGUAGAAAGUGCCCAGGAUCCAGGCUACGGUCAGGAUGGCGAUGGCAUUGGCGCGGAUCUUCCUCAUGGAAUGGACUCCAGCAGCAUCACAGAAUCAAAGCAACACCUAAGGAAUUCACUGUUUCUUCACAUACUUUGAACUGUGAAAACAAGAGUCAUCAUAAUAGCUGCAGUUUACUCAGUACCUACCAGGUACUGUCACCUAUACUGUCUCUAAAGCCCCUACAACCCUGAGCUAAGGAUGAUCAUAUCCCCAACUGCAGAUGAUGACACUGAAGCUCAACGGCUACUCAACUUGCCUGGAAUCCUACAGCAAAAUACUGCAUUGUGUCACAAGAAUUCAACUAUGUACUCAUGGAGAAGGAGGGAGAAAGCAAGGAAGGAAAAAAGAGAAAAGUAAUUUACAUAGUAACAGCAAUUCUGCUCAACAUUCCAUUCAGUGAGCCGAUACCCUGGAGUGCAGAAACUGUUAUGAAUGUACUCCACCAAGGCAAGAAAGGAAGAAGACAUGGAAUUUAAAAAACAGAGGAUCUACUAUGAAAGAGAAAGGUGAAGGGAAUUCCAGGCUGAUGGUAAAUGCAAAUUCCAGGAUGAGAGUUGGGCAGCAGGCCUAGAGUGCACUCCGUCCUGGGAGGAGCCAGAUGAUAGAGGGCUCUAGGAGAGAAGGCUCCAAGGGAAAAUGAAACAAGAGGAGGAGAAGAAACAGGCUUACGCUGAGCGAAUCCAAUGUGCAGACAGACACACAGGGAAGGUGACCAUUUGAAGACGGAGGCAGAAACUGAAGUUGUGCAACUGCAAACCAAGAAAUGCCAUGGAUUGCCAACAACCACCAGGAACUAGAAGAGGCAAGGUAAGGUUCAGCAAAGUCUAUGUCAUUCUCUAAUCCUUUUGAUCCAGCGGAUUCUUUGGAGGAAUUUGAAUACAUAUUGGAUUUUGCAUCCAGGUUUGCAAGAGGAAAAUACAAAGGUGACUUCUGGGCCUGCUGGAGGUGGAGGGUAGAGGAUGGACAGCUGACAUCUAGUCACAGAGGAAAGAACACAGAAAGAGAUCUCCAGUUAAAGCUGAUAGAUUGAACCACAGACAACCCACCUCCUUCUAAAAUCCCUCUAGAACAAUGGUUUAAAAAAAGUGCUUUAACAUAAAACUUCAAAAUCAAAAAGAUAAGGAAAAUGAUGAAAACCACUCAGAUAAGAAGAGAGGAUAUUUAUGCAGAGGCUGCUGUCGUUGGGAGUCCGCCACCAUACCACUAUACUUUGGUGAGACUUGAAGGCAGGCAGGGAGUGGAAACACUUUAUGCUGUAGUGAAAAAAGGGGAAGGCUUCGGUAUGCUCUGACUGGAGAUCAUUGUCAUGGGGAAACUGCAGGUGGGCUAACUAGAGGCUGGGCUUCUUGUGUAAUGGUUUGGCUUUCUCUGGUUGGUCCUGUGUUGAAAAUAGGGGCAAAAUAUAGGGAAGCUGACUCAUUGACCAAGCCCUGCCCAGGCUGGCCAAUUGCAGAGGUUGUGGGUCAGAGUUCUAUUGUCAUAUAUGGUCUGGCUACUGUCUGUUUAUAUAAUCCGUCUCUCAGAGAACAGUAGAGGAGAUCAAAUUAUUAACAUUUUGGAAGCUGGAAAGCAGGAGGAUAGUGUGAGCUGAAUUAGCAGACUUGCCAUCUAUCAAAGGGGAUAGCCAAAAGCAAGCCAGAUUUGCCCCAGAGAACCACCAAAGGUUCAAGAAUUGGCAGCACCAGGUACCCCCAGAAGCAGGGAUAAAGUGGGGGCUGAAAUUGGACAGUUGGUUCAAAGUCUAUUUCAGAAGCAUUAGACCACUGGAUUUCUUCCCCAGCUCCCAAAUGACUGCCUGGUGCAAAAGACUCAGGAUUGAUUCCCUGGAGAGGGUAGGUAGUUCUUUGUCUAGUUAAGGAUGGGAUGCCAUAACAAACAUGCCAAUUCAGUGAAAGUACCUACUUUCAAGACUCCUGCUUAACUCCCCUAAAUCAGCAGCCAAUGUUAGAAGCCAAGUGUUAAAGUUUUUCAGAUAAUUUUGCUAUAAGCCUAUGGAGAAAUUUCAUUACCAUCUCAUAGCAAGGCCUAUAGUAUAAGAGCAGGCCUAUAGUAGCAUAUGGGGGAAAGUCUAAAAGACUUUGAAAUGGACCAAAAGAUUAUUGAGAAAUGGAAAACUGCAUUGUUUUAAGUAUCCCUUUCCAACUUAUCAGAUUCUGUGGGGUUUAUACCUUUCAUUGUCUUUGAGGUAUUUAACAAUUCUAAAGAGAUAGACUCUAACUUGUAGAAAACUAAGAGUAACAUAAAUAAUUAUCGUCUUUAGAUAUACAAAUAAAUUCUGUUCUGAGAA
rnacentral:lncRNA from 1 species